GGUGUGGAGCGUUCCGCGUGGGAGCUGAGGCUUCGGCGUUCCCCGCGUCGCUUCGAACCCGACGUUGCAGUGCCUGUGCGCCCGCCUUUCCACAGCAUGCAACAAUCCCUGUGCUAUUCAAUAUACAAUGAACAUCUGAGCUAAUAAGAAUGAAACUUAACAAGCACAGAAAAUGAAAUGGCUUCAUAGCUACGCUCCUGUGAAUUCAAGCCGAUAUUAUGACACUGAGUUCAGUAAAACGACCUUUCAGAUGAGAUGCAGAAAGUUCACUGAAGAAGAGAUGAUGAAUGUUUUGCAUCACGCCUCAAAAAAUAGUAAGUUGUAAACCGUAAGAAAUAAGUAACGAUGAUGAAAGCCAGUAUCAAAUCUGGGAAAACAGUAAUUGGCCACAGUGAAGCAUAAGGAGACAGAAAAGAUGAUGUUAAUGCAGAACUGUGAAAGAUGAACCUUCUUUGAUGUUAAA